UGGGGAAUUUUGCGCAAUGGGGGAAACCCUGACGCAGCAACGCCGCGUGGGUGAUGAAGGCCUUCGGGUCGUAAAGCUCUGUCUGGAGGGAAGAAAUGAUUGGGAGCUAAUACCUCCUGAUCUUGACGGUACCUCUGAAGGAAGCACCGGCUAACUCCGUGCCAGCAGCCGCGGUAAUACGGAGGGUGCAAGCGUUGUUCGGAAUUAUUGGGCGUAAAGCGCGUGUAGGCGGUCUUUUAAGUCUGAUGUGAAAGCCCCGGGCUCAACCUGGGAAGUGCAUUGGAAACUGGGAGGCUUGAGUACGGGAGAGGAGAGUGGAAUUCCUAGUGUAGGAGUGAAAUCCGUAGAUAUUAGGAGGAACACCAGUGGCGAAGGCGGCUCUCUGGACCGAUACUGACGCUGAGACGCGAAAGCGUGGGUAGCAAACA
rnacentral:rRNA from 1 species